rnacentral:rRNA from 1 species
UACGAAGGUGGCAAGCGUUGUUCGGAUUUACUGGGCGUAAAGGGAGCGUAGGUGGUCGGGUAAGCCCCGCGGGAAAGCUCCAGGCUUAACCUGGAAAGGUCGCGGGGGACUGCGCGGCUAGAGGACGGGAGAGGAGCGCGGAAUUCCCGGUGUAGCGGUGAAAUGCGUAGAGAUCGGGAGGAAGGCCGGUGGCGAAGGCGGCGCUCUGGAACGGCCCUGACACUGAGGCUCGAAAGCGUGGGGAGCAAACAGGAUUAGAUACCCUGGUAGUCCACGCCCUAAACGAUGGACACUACGUGCCGGCGGGUCUCCGUCGGUGCCGCAGCUAACGCAGUAAGUGUCCCGCCUGGGGAGUACGGCCGCAAGGUUGAA